rnacentral:rRNA from 1 species
GAUGAACGCUGGCGGCGUGCCUAAUACAUGCAAGUCGAGCGAACAGACGAGGAGCUUGCUCCUCUGACGUUAGCGGCGGACGGGUGAGUAACACGUGGAUAACCUACCUAUAAGACUGGGAUAACUUCGGGAAACCGGAGCUAAUACCGGAUAAUAUAUUGAACCGCAUGGUUCAAUAGUGAAAGACGGUUUUGCUGUCACUUAUAGAUGGAUCCGCGCCGCAUUAGCUAGUUGGUAAGGUAACGGCUUACCAAGGCAACGAUGCGUAGCCGACCUGAGAGGGUGAUCGGCCACACUGGAGCUGAGACACGGUCCAGACUCCUACGGGAGGCAGCAGUAGGGAAUCUGCCGCAGUGGGCGAAAGCCUGACGGAGCAACGCCGCGUGAGUGAUGAAGGUCUUCGGAUCGUAAAACUCUGUUAUUAGGGAAGAACAAAUGUGUAAGUAACUAUGCACGUCUUGACGGUACCUAAUCAGAAAGCCACGGCUAACUACGUG